CAGCUUUCAGCCGGAUCCAGGCCGCGGAUGUCCCGCAGCGCCUCAGCCUGGCGGCCCUGUGGUCCGGAUAGGACGGGCUCCAGGCUCAGAGGAGGCAACUGACACACAGACUUGCAGCCUUUUUUCCAGCGACACCCACAUACGCUUUCCAGGUAUGAAAUUCCAUGAUACAAGCAGAAUCCAAGGACCUCGACCUGGGUGGAAGCUCACAAGUUUAGCUAAUCUGUCUCCUCACCAUAUGAUGAAGAUAUUGUGAUCCCAUUUUGCAGAUAUGACAGCUGGGGUCCCAGAGAGGAUACGCAGUGUUGUGUGACUGCUGAGCUCUCGAAGGCAUUUGUAUGAACUCACGCUGACCAUGGGUGUUUUCCCUGUGCCUUCAGCUCCGGAGCUGUGUGGACAGGGCAUGUACUGCUGUGGCUCAAGCAGUGUGACCCAGAGGACGUGCCGGAGGGAAGACUGAGGCCCAGUUGAAGAUCAACUUCUGGGUUUUUUGUUUGUUUGUUUUGGGUUUUUCUGAGAGGACAGGGUCUUGCUGUGUAGUUCAAACUGGCCUUGAACUCACUGUGCAGCCCAGGCUGGCCUCAAACUCACAGCAAUCCUCCUGCCUCAGCCUCCCGAGUGUAGUGUUGGACAUCUUUGAGCAAGGAUCCUUUAUGUUUGUCGCAGUACCUAUUAAGAACACAGGGUCCGGGGCCGGGGUUUUAGCUCAGUGAUUCCACCGCCUGCCCUGCAAGCACAAGGACCCAAGUUUGAUUCGUGGUACCAAAAAAAAAAAAAAAGAACACAGGGUCCAGGAAGAAGGGAGAAAGGAGGAAGGUGGUGAGAAAGGAGUAUUCACUAAGCAUCGGCAGCACCAGCAUUCAGUCAGGCUCUCCCUUCACCAUGGCAACAUGUGGAGCAGGCGGUUUCUCGUUCAGGAAGGAUGGACCUGAGGUCAGAUGGGAGAUCACGUGUCCAGAGGCACACAGCGUGGGUAAAGCAGAGUCCGAAACAAAGCGAGGCGAGGAAGCUGAGGCUAUGUUCCUCUUGCACCACAGUGAGUCUCGGGUGUGCCAAGGAGAAGCACGGGGCAGAAAGCUGGACCAGUCCACCACGGCGUUGCUUCCAACACCAGUAACGAUGCUGUGUGACCCCAAGAAAGUCCCUCAGUGUCUCCAAGCCUCAGGUUCCCCUUUGAUCCUGAAGGGUGGAUGCUGAGUGCUAAGGUCCCCUCCGCUUGGCAGGGCUGGGCUGCAGCUGACUCUCCCUGCGUUCCUUGGCCACCGAGUGAGCCACUUAAAGAUGACUGAUGCUGCCAGGAGGAUCGGUGUCUCUUUAAUGAGAUCUGUCAAGGUCAGGCCCAGCAAGCUUAUUGGGGGUUUUCUGAUGGAGCCUCUCUUAAUUGCUUGGGGUGAAGAGUUCAGAGUUAAGUUGCAGGGUUAGCCUUUCCGUCUCAGGGCGCUGGGCCUUAAACAGCUGACUGAGGGGCCUUCACUCAGCCCAGUGGCCCUCGCCUCCCUGGGGUAGAAGAGGGGGCUGCUGAGCAAUGGAGAAAUAUGCUGUGUUGGUCACCGAGAAGCAAUGUCAAAUUUCUGGGGCUUUCCUAUGUUUUGGUCUAUGUACUGCCAGGAAGACUUCCACAAACAGCGUUGCUUUCGUGUGUGCUUGUGUGAGUG
rnacentral:lncRNA from 1 species